rnacentral:rRNA from 1 species
GGUAGUCGCUAUAAACAAACCAAUAAAGAAUGGCGGUUACAAUUCUUUAGAGAAACUCGUCUUAUAAUCGUCAAUACUCGCUAAAUUUAACUUAAUACAAACUAAUCUUUAUACCGCCGUUUCAGAAAUUUAAAUAAAUUUAUAUUCUAAAUCAUUAUAAUAAAAAAAUCAGGUCAAGGUGAAAUUUAUAAUUAAGCAUAGAUAAGUUACAUUAAAAAUCAUUUAAGGAAAAAACCAUAAAUAGAAUUAGAAAAAGAAUCUAAAAGUAAAAUUUAAUUAAAA